GACGGAAGGUGCAAGCGUUGCUCGGAAUCACUGGCGUAAAGGGUGCGCAGGUGGUUUGGCAAGUUUGACGUGAAAGCCCCGGGCUUAACCCGGGAAUGGCGUUGAAAACUGCUUGAACUGGAGGGUCGGAGGGGGGACUGGAAUUCUUGGUGUAGCAGUGAAAUGCGUAGAUAUCAAGAGGAACACCAGUGGCGAAGGCGAGUCCCUGGACGAUACCUGACACUGAGGCACGAAAGCCAAGGGAGCAAACAGG
rnacentral:rRNA from 1 species